rnacentral:ribozyme from 1 species
UGCCCAGCAACUCCUAUUCCUACCUCCUCAUGGUAUUGACCGGGGUACGAGUAACCUUGGGGAAGAACCAACCCCGGUGAAAACUUUGGUCGUAUGCUGACAGUGAAGG